rnacentral:lncRNA from 1 species
AUGCCUGUCCCCUGUCCCCAUGUCCAUCCCCUAUCUCCGUGUCCGUCCCCUGUCCCCAUGUACCUGUCUGCUGUCCCCCUGCCUGUCCCGUCCCCCUGCUUGUCCCUUGUCCCCAUGUCUGUCCCCUGUCCCCAUAUACCUGAAACCAUCUUCCCGUCCCCAUGCCCGUCCCCUGUCCCCAUGUCUGUUUCCUGUCCCUAUUCCUGUCCCUUCCUUGUCCCUUGUCCCCCAUUCCCUGUCCCCAUGUCCGCUCCCUGUCCCCCUGCCUCUCCCCUGUCCCCAUAUCUGUCCUCUGUCCCUAUUUCUGUCCCUUCCUUGUCCCCUCUUCCUGUCCCCACAUCCGUCCCCUGUCCCCACGUCUGUUCCCUGUCCCUAUAUACACGUCCCCUCUUCACAUCCCCUUGUCUGUCUCCUGUCCCCAUAUCUGUCCCUUGUCCCCAUGUCCCUCCCUUGUCCCCCUGUCCCUCCCCUGUCCCUAUUCCUGUCCCCUGUCCCCAUGUGUGUUCCCUGUCUCCAUAUACCUGUCCCCUCUCCCCUAUCUUCACCCCCUAUUCCUGGUUCCCUGUCCCCCUGCCUGUCCCCAUGUCUGUUCCCUGUCCCCAUAUACCUAUCCCCAGCCCCCUGUCCCCAUGUCCAUCCCCUGUCCCCACAUCCGUCCUCUGUCCCCAUGCCUGUCUCUUGUCCCCUGUCCCCAUGUCUGUUCCCUGUCCCUAUAUACCUGUCCUCUCUCCCCUAUUCUCAGUUCCUUGUCCCCAUGUCUGUCCUCUGUCCCCAUAUACCCAUCCCCUCUUCCUGUCCCCAUGUCCAUUCCCUGUCCCCAUGUCCAUCCCCUGUCCCCAUGUCUGUUCCCUGUCCCUAUAUACCUGUCCCCUCUUAAUAUCCCCCUGCCUGUCCCCUGUCCCCAUGUUUGUUCCCUGUCCCCAUAUCUGUCCCUUGUCCCCAUGUCUGUCCCCUGUCCCUAUAUACCUGUCCCCUCUUCAUGUCCCCAUGUCCAUCCCCUGUCCCCAUGUCUGUUUCCUGUCCCUAUUACUGUCCCUUCCUUGUCCCUUGUCCCUGACCCCUGUCCCCAUGUCCAUCCCUUGUCCCUAUUCCUGUCCCUUCCUUGUCCCCUGUCCCCACGUCUGUUCCCUGUCCCCAUAUACCUGUCCCCUCUUCAUGUCCCCUUGUCUGUCCCCUGUCCCCAUUCCUGUCCCCUGUCCCCAUGUCCCUCCCCUGUCCCCAUGUCUGUCCCUUGUCCCCAUGUCCGUCCCUUGUCCCCAUGUCUGUUUCCUGUCCCUAUUCCUGUCCCUUCCUUAUCCCUUGUCCCUCGUCCCCUGUCCCCACAUCCAUUCCCUUCCCCAUAUCCCUCCCUUGUCCCCCUGUCCCUCCCCUGUCCCUAUUCCUACCCCUUCUCCCCACGCCCAUCCCCAUUCCCCGCCCCGUCCCCAUUCCCCUCCCCGCCGCGCUCAGCUCCUCCCCGCGCGGCCUACCGCGGCCUCCACACCCCAAACCCACCCCAAACCCCCCAAACCCCCCUAA